GGGUGCGGUACCAUGGAUUAUGGCGUCGGUGGCCGAAAAUAAAGGAAAAAAUGCUCGGCCAAAUAGAAAAAAAUAGGAUCUUUUGUUUUGAUAGCUUUUUUGGCAAGUCCAAUGGCCAGUGGCCAUGCAUAAUAGCGUGAGAAGAAGGGAAAGAAAAAGAGAAAGAGAGGCCGGGCUUAUCUCAGGCUCUAGUGAGGUCUCUGGCGAGGACUUUAGGCAGACAUGGUGAGGGUAUCUGUGGAUUCAAUGGGAGAACCUAAAAGGAAAAAAGAGAGAGGCGUCGAUGCUCAUUAUAGAUGGUGUUGGAGGAGAGAGGAGAGGAUUUUAUAGAGGACUUCCUAGGAUUUUCAUUGGGCCUAG
rnacentral:lncRNA from 1 species